ACUCUUCUUCAAUAUCUGCCCAGUGGAUCUAUAGUGUCAGAUGGAUUAGCUCUGAAAGUACUAAGGAGGAUGUUAUAUUCUUUUAUCGUUGUUUUUCUUUUUUCAAACGAUGGUUGGAGUUCGUGAGAUGAUGAGAAUUAUAUUCCCUUUCUCUGGAGUGGGUGGAUCGACCUCCUACCCUACGAUGCUCAACUCCUGAGGUUCUUCCAAUUCCAAGAACUUCAAACUGUAUAUUCUCACAGUCGAUGAAGGAGAGGGCGCAUUAAGAAACUUAAUUGAUGUCGUAACAAUAUGUGGGACCUUACCAUGUGCCACGAUCUCCCUACCCGCUCAACAUGGAGAACCCAA